rnacentral:tRNA from 1 species
GUUUAAUUAGUUUAAAAAAACAAUAGUCUUGUAAACUAGUAUUAAAUUAUAAUUUUUUAUUAAACA